UGUGUUUUGGAUGUGAAUUUGAGUCUUACUGCUUUGUGGUCUUCUGGCCAAUCAUGAAGCCCCUUUGAUUAAAAACAAAGGAGUCAAGAAGAGGCUAAGGUUUUCUUGACAUCAACAAGCUCUUCAAAGCAACAUUUCAAAAAGUGCUAAUGACUCAGACCAGAUGGAGUCUAUUUCCAUGAAAAAGCUGAGUGUCUAAAGAAGCAGGAAGUAAAGCUCAUGCAGACCACUGUCUUUUGGUUUUCCGAACUCCAGCCUCACUCCAAACACCACCAAGCUGCAUCCUGCCUUCUCUCUUCUGUCUGCUUGAACUGCCAUUGCCCUUCAGCUUUUCAAAGAAACCGGACUUAGCCCAUAUGGAAAAUAACCUCAGACUUCAAACCUGGACUGGGAUUCUUAGACUUCUUUGGUUACCAAAAUGCUUUCAGUUCAAAGUAAUCUCUUAUUUAACUUUGAUUUUUUUUAGUUGUGGAAAAUAUGCAUAACAUAAAACUUACCACUUUAACCAUUUUUAAGUGCACAGUUCAGUGGUAUUAAAUACAUUCACAUUGUUGUUCAACCAUCACCACCAUCCAUCUUUAGAGCUAUUUUGUCUUCUCCAACUACAAGUCUGUACCCAUUAAACAGUAACUCACCAUUCCCCCUCC
rnacentral:lncRNA from 1 species